AAAGAAUGUCACUGGAUGCUGUAAAACACAAUACAGAUGAACACAGGUCAUCAUCCAGUGAUCUCUCUGGAGGAUCAGCGCAUGUUUCUGCAUCAGCCAGCAAGUUGUACAAACAGGACUGCGAGACCUUUGAAAUAGUGGUGAAGAUGCUUAUAUCCAAAGAUCCAACACUCGAACCAAUGCUUCUGGCAGUGCUGCAUAAGAACCUGGCUGAAACCGGGGAAGAAUACUUGGAAAACCUCGGCCAGUUGAUCUCUGAGGUGGAUGCAUUGGUCAAACCUAACCAUGAUCCAUAAACUGAUCAUGAAGCGCUUCAUCAUGCUUACUCAACUUAUAUAAACACACCAUCUAGAAGUAAUGUUUGUUCAGUUGUUGUUUGUCAUCUUAUUCAGCACAGCUGUCCUAAACACAUGUGUUAAACUUUUAAUUCAAGAACCACACUAACAGUUCACCGUUUACCUUAAAUUCUG
ensembl:lncRNA